AGUGAACGCUGGCGGUAGGCCUAACACAUGCAAGUCGAACGGCAGCACAGAGGAGCUUGCUCCUUGGGUGGCGAGUGGCGGACGGGUGAGGAAUACAUCGGAAUCUACUCUGUCGUGGGGGAUAACGUAGGGAAACUUACGCUAAUACUGCAUACGACCUACGGGUGAAAGCAGGGGACCUUCGGGCCUUGCGCGAGUGACUGAGCCGAUGUCGGAUUAGCUAGUUGGCGGGGUAAAGGCCUACCAAGGCGACGAUCCGUAGCUGGGCUGAGAGGAUGAUCAGCCACACUGGAACUGAGACACGGUCCAGACUCCUACGGGAGGCAGCAGUGGGGAAUAUUGGACAAUGGGCGCAAGCCUGAUCCAGCCAUACCGCGUGGGUGAAGAAGGCCUUCGGGUUGUAAAGCCCUUUUGUUGGGAAAGAAAUCCAGCUGGCUAAUACCCGGUUGGGAUGACGGUACCCAAAGAAUAAGCACCGGCUAACUUCGUGCCAGCAGCCGCCGUAA
rnacentral:rRNA from 1 species